ACUCCUACGGGAGGCAGCAGUGGGGAAUAUUGCACAAUGGGGAAAGCCCAUCGAUGCAGCCAUGCCGCGUGUGUGAAGAAGGCCAAUUCGGGUUUGGUUAAAGACACUUUUCAGCGAGGAGGAAAGGGUGUGUGCUAAUACCAUACAUCUGUGACGUUACUCGCAGAAGAAGCACCGGCUAACUCCGUGCCAGCAGCCGCGGUAAUACGGAGGGUGCGAGCGUUAAUCGGAAUUACUGGGCGUAAAGCGUGCGCAGGCGGUUUGUUAAGCGAGAUGUGAAAGCCCCGGCUCAGCCUGGAA
rnacentral:rRNA from 1 species